rnacentral:lncRNA from 1 species
UCCUUUCUAAAGGCACAACAAAUGGUUGAGAAGGGGUGUGAUACGCACCUAGCCUUUGUGAGAGAUGUCAGUGCUGAUACUCCUAUCGUUGAGUCAGUUCUGGUAGUGAGAGAUUUCCCAGAUGUAUUUCCAGCAGACCUACCCGGCAUGAUGCCUGAUAGGGAUAUCGAUUUUUGUAUUGACUUGAUACUAGGCACUCAGCCCAUUUUCAUUCAUGUAACUUAGUGAAAUAAAAAACCACUAGAAAAUAUAUCAUAGGUUGGGAUGGGUAUACCUUUUCUUGAAAAUUAAUUUCAAUUGGAGUUGUAUUUUGAAACUCAUUGAGGUUUGUUUAGUUCGCAAUCUCAAGGUAUGUUUGGUUUUAUUUUCUUGAAAAUCGGCCUUAUAAACAUCCUUUCGAUUAUGAUCUUUUCAAAGAGAAGUCGUUUCGCUUUUCAAUUAUGUUCAAACUCAAAACUCUAUUAAAAGUGGUUAGUGAUAACAAAACGAACUCUUCUAUUUGUUAAGAAAGUAAGUGAUCAAAGCAUUAAAGUUUUAUAUUGAACAUGAUUUUAAACUGGAUUCUCUUUUUUGUUUACCUAUGAGACUUGCUUUGUCUAUGUUCCUAAAACAAUCAAACAUACCAAAAAUAUUCAAUAAUAAUGUUAUUGUAAGACAUAUACACAGAAUAAACAACUAGAUUCAUCGUCUAAAAAUGAGAGGGGGAAAAGAACUGGACUCUUUAUAUCGGGCCAAUGAACCAGGCCCAGCAGAUCUACAAGCAGCGACAGACUUCAUAGAGCGAAAGACAUCCUAGAAUGGAACUUGGGCAUGAGUUCUGAAUAACUCAGCAGGCCCAGUUCAAACAUGUACAUAAAAAGAAAUAAACGACCAUUAAUGAAUUCAGUAUUAGGCCCAACAAAAUAAAAUCACAAUAAGUAAAUAAGACUAAAGAAUACAAUAUAACCGAUUUAAUUUGUAUUAAUCCUCAAUGACUAAAGGCUUAGAGUAAAAACUUAUUCAUGGAUAAGAUAUCCUUUGAAUCCCUGGCAAUUUGGAUUUCACAACGGUGUCAUGGGCCCCGAGCAGUGCUUGUGUUAGUGAAGGGCAUCCUAACCACAAACAAAGUUUCACACCCAAAUACCCUUAACCACUCACGCUUACUCUUUCUCAAAGUAUUAGACACAAAUGAGGUGUUAACUUAGUAAUUAUCAUGAGAGCAGUAAGCAUUGAUCACAUAGGUUCAGACACUCAUAAUUUCAGCAGAAUAUGAUAGAGGACAUUAUUCUUAGAAUGCAAGGAUCACAACAUUAGCUUUAAGAUCAGAACUCAAAAAUAUAAAGACCACCUAGUGCAAACAAACUUAUAGUAUCCAGUGAUGUCAAUGGCCUUGAAGUUACCUAUAGCAUGCAUCAAGAUACUUAGGAAAGUUAAGAACUAGGGGAGUCAGUGACAUUUACCAGUAAGCCAAUUCAAGCUUAGAAAUGCUUGAUUAGGUGAUCCAAGUGAUAGGGAAGGCAUGUACAUUAAUUUCAUUAUUUCUACUGGGGGUUCAACAUUUCAAGAUCCCUAACUAGGUUCAGAGUACUUCAACAGACAUUUUAGUGAUCUUCAAAAUAAUUAGUAGCAAACAUAUGCAUGGUUGAGGCCUUAUUUAACUAAGCACUUAUACUGACAACCUUGUUCAAACAUCCUGAGGGUAACAACACCAGCAGAGGCAUCAAUAUAGGUAUGAGGGUCAGUUUUAGCCUAGUCCAAACAUAAUAGCAUGAUUUGUGGUUUAUUAAAUUCCCAAACUCCAGAUUCAUAGUUAAGUUCUAUAUAGACAAGGAUAUUAACCAGAUAUGAGACAAUGGGUUGGGGUGUUCAUUCUUAGUAGGUGAGAAUAGGGCAAACAACUCUUAAUGAAUUUACUCAAACAUAUGAGUGAUCUUACUAACUAGGUUACACCAGUAAAUUUCACAUAUCUAGAUUUUAUGUUUAGCAUUAUUCACUCAAGUUGCUACAUUAUUAAGGCAAACAUGAUUUAGUCUUUCAAGAGAAAUUUUCAGAAAAGGAUAUAGUGACUUAAACAAGAAACUUUCUUAAUUAAAGAGCAUGUAACAGUUCAAGGGCAAUACUGGACUAGCACAACUAUGAUGAACAUAAGCAGAGGCAUAGAAAUCAACAGAAGUCCCUUAACCAAUGUACAAUAAGGUUCCAGAUGGUAACUACUAAAGGGUUCAUAUAAUAGGCAUUGUUUCAAACUUAUCCAAUUAAGAUCAUCAAAGCAAAUAGGCCAAAUGUAAGCUAUGAACUGUGGUUAGAAUCAUUUUUAUUGAAUCAAAACAGUGUAAUAUGAUAUCACAAAUGUAAAGAUCAAUACAUCACAGUGCAGCAGAUGUGAACUCUUAACAAGACAUUCAGAAUAUUUCAAAAAUCACAACUCAAUUAAGUUGGCUAACAUGGUAGUACAACUACUUUUUAACUAAUCAGAGACAGAGCAUUCUCAGCACUAACUUAAGGCUUAGUUCAACUUAUCAUAAAGGUUCAACAAGACUUGUUCAGAGGAGUAUAAACAUCACGAAAGCAUUUUAUCUAUGUAAGUUAUGGAGUUCAAACAUAGAGCACACUACAAUAUCAAAACAUCAUAAUAUUUUCAGGAAAAUUGUCAACUCAACAGUGCAAAUAGCAUACAACAAACAAAAUAUAACAAAUAUAGUCAUGCACAACUAGUAUGCAUCAUAAACGAGAGAUAAUCAAUAGGAAAGCAUCAUAAAAUUGCACAGUCGAGAGAUAGAGAUAGGGUCAGUAUACACUGACCUUCUGUAGAGCACCAAACCAAGCAAGAGUGAUUUGUUAGUCGUUUUGGAGUCCAAACCCAAAACGAAUCACACACAGAGAUCAAACUCAAGCAUAAAUGAAAAGGAGAAAAGAGAAAGUAGGGAAAAAAGUUAUUGAAACUUAAUACUAAGUCAAAAACUUAAACUUGUUACUUUUAGUAGUGGUAUUAGGUAUAUUGAUUGGUAUUGAUCUAUGUUAGGUGAUAGCAUUGAAAGCUCCUAUUUAUAGUGGCCGUUUAAGCCUUAAGAUUCCGGUCAAUUCAAAAUCAAUAGUGGAAAGUUACGAAGGUAGGAUGAUGAUAGCAUAGAGGUGAAAUCAGAGAAACACAUAGAGGAAAAACAACAUGGGGAUUUACCUGGGCAUGAAGAAAUGAGGAAUUGACCGUUGAAGCGUGAAAAGCCAUCGGUCGAAUCCCUAAUGUCCAGAGGUCAUUACAUUUGACCUCUUGACAUUGAAUAACAAUGAUGAAGCCAGAGAUUGUCUUCAUGCCUGCUUCGAUUUGAAAGCACAGAACCAAAACAGAUGAAAUUCUAAGUCAAUGUUUUAGGUCUAGGGUUUUGAUUUGGGGUUUUGAAUUGUAUCGACAAAAGGGGAAAGAUUCAAGUAAGAAUCACGGCUAACAUGGAAAUAGGAGAUGACUUAGGUUCGAUUAAGGUGACAUUGCACUAAUUUAUGAAAGGUACUUUGGAUUGAUGGGAUUACAGUAUUGAGAGAACAAGGAGAGAAAGAGGAAAGGGAAUACAGCAAGGUAGGUGGAAAUGAGUAGGGUUUGGGAGUGGUCAUUGAGGUUUAAAGUGGGAGAUGAAUUCUGGGCAGUUGGAUCAUUUGAUCA